GAUGAACGCUGGCGGCGUGCCUAAUACAUGCAAGUCGAGCGAACAGACGAGGAGCUUGCUCCUCUGACGUUAGCGGCGGACGGGUGAGUAACACGUGGAUAACCUACCUAUAAGACUGGGAUAACUUCGGGAAACCGGAGCUAAUACCGUAUAAUAUAUUGAACCGCAUGGUUCAAUAGUGAAAUACGGUUUUGCUGUCACUUAUCGAUGGAUCCCCGCCGCAUUGGCUAGUUGGUAAGGUAACGGCUUUCCAAGGCAACGAUGCGUAGCCGACCUGAGAGGGUGAUCGGCCACACUGGAACUGGAACACGGUCCAGACUACUACGGGAGGCAGCAGUAGGGAAUCUUCCGCAAUGGUCGAAAGCCUGACGGAGCAACGCCGAGUGAGUGAUGAAGGUCUUCGGAUCGUAAAACUCUGUUAUUAGGGAAGAACAAAUGUGUAAGUAACUAUGCACGUCUUGACGGUACCUAAUCAGAAAGCCACGGCUAACUACGUG
rnacentral:rRNA from 1 species